UGAUCAUAAGUAUAAAAUGUUAAAACAUGGAAUAAAAUAAAAUGAAGUUCUGCACAUGAAUGUUCAUAGCAGCUUUAUUUGUGACAGCUGGGAGCUAGAAACCAUCUAGAUGUCCUCCAUCAGUUGAAGAGAAAAGCCAACAGUCACACUGAAAAGAGUAACUGGAAGCAUCUGGACCCCAGGAUGAUGUCACAUGUCAAUACCACAAAAGGUUGAAGCAUUCCUUCAUGAUUCUUUUAAAUCAGUGAUGAAUGAUUUAAUAAUGAUCACAACUGCUGAACCAUAGAUUGGAAAUUCAGUAACAUAGAGGCAGAGGAAACACCCUCACAGUUGAUAUCAGGAAACACGAAGAAUUAUU